rnacentral:lncRNA from 1 species
GCUCAUACCAAGACGAAUGGUUGUUUUAUUUCGGAGCCCGUUUUUGUUAAAAAUUUUCACUGCAUGCAUUACUAAAAAAUCGAGCGGUCAUCGGAUAAUGCCAAGACGAUUUUCUCAAGCGCCUCCGAAAAAAAAUUGAAAGUAAGUCACAAGUAUACAGAAAUGGUGAAACGGGAAGCACGCCUGGAAAACAAACCCUAGUAUGAAUCAUGGCAAUUCUGGAAAUUCCAAUGAAACUACAAACGACGUUUUGAUGCAAGAUUUUUCAAAUAUCCAAAUCGAGUAUCUCGAAUCACUAACAAGUCAAAAAACGAUAAGAAAGAAUACAGUAUCUGCGAGAAGAUAAAUUCUGAAUCUGGAACAAGGAAACUUCAAAUUUUUGUUUUUCUCUAAGAAUUUAUAUUCUGAAAAAUGACAAAAAUAUAACCUCGCUCGACAGUGGAGUUACAUUCCGCUUAUAACUACAAUGUGCCAAACAUGUGAGGUGCUAGAUGGAUUAUGCAUUCAUUGUGGAAAUAUGAUCUCUAGUUAACAACAUCGGUGAACACCAUUCUCAUGCACAGUAGGCACAACGACGAGAAUCCUCGACGAAAUAUCUGUUGGAUGUCUGAACCGAUGAAGUUGUUUGACGAAAUUGAAUAUGAAAAGUGCACGGGCUCAACGCAAAAGUUCUCGAGCAUCUUGUCAAAUUUUACGUGAAUCAACCACGCGGAAGAGAAGGCGUGCAAAUGAAGCCCUAUCUACAACAUGGCGAGGGACUCGUUGUAAUGUUGCUGGUGAUAUGAAAAGAAUCCGACUCGAAGAAAAUUUCAAAUAUUUGCUAUCUAACAGACCUCGUCAUAGGCCGGCACCGGAGCUUUACCAGUGGAAGAAUACAUUUAAAGACACAAAACAAGACCGCUUGAUA